GUUUUCUUUGUGCCAUAAAUUUCAUGAGUAUUUAGAGUUUGAGCUGACACUUCCCGUAUCUGGCUGAUGAUCAAUGAGCUGUUAGUCUGGAAAGUUAGAGCAGAAUCUAUGCAGAUGAUGUUGCAAGUAAGUCAUUGUCUGCACAGUUUGAAGCAAAAUGUGACCCUGAUUUUGGAUGGGAGUUAGGCCAGUAAUGUGUACCAGAACAUUAAUGUAACUUUCUUCUCCAGCUUCAUGCAAUAUGACAAUUAGGCUGUGGCUAUAUUACUUUUUUGGCUGUCUGAGUGUAGUUGUCUGCACUGCACAGCCUGAGGUGUUAUGUCAAUAAUUCCUGUGGUACUGGGCUCGAAGUCAGGGCUGUUCCCACUGCUGCGCCCAGGUUCCCUGCCAGCUGAUACAGCUUGCCUGGCUCUGGGGAUAUGUAGGCAGCAGCGAGCCUGGAGCUACCGUGCUCAUACAGACACCCUGACAGUGCCUGGCUGGGACACGCACAGAAUAAACACAGGGAUGGAUCUCAGCGAGGACUGGCUGCUUAGCCUAGCUUGGGGAAAGAAAAUAAAUGCCUGUGUUGUGCCACUAGGAACAAGAAAAAAUGACUCCAGGGGGACAGAGCUACCUGCUAUGAUUCCACCUUCUACGAUUCUACUUUCUACCUUCUGUGAUUCUAUAUUUGGAACUCACUCUUUCAUUUUGCCAGUUCUGCUGGUUCUGGGCCCGUGUUAUCAACAGGGUCUCAGAGGACAGGGGAGCCCCGUUGGGAGCAGACACAGCUACAGGGGCACUGGGGACACACUGGAUUCAUUCCUCUCUGUUCACAUGACCGAAGGAGCUACCGACCUGUUCCUGGGAUUUCUUUCUGGUUAUUCCAAAGGAAGACAGGAUGUUUGUUUAAAGAGGAGCAAGCACGAUAACACUUCAAAGUCAAGUAAAUCCUUUCAGUGGGAAGCAAGAAUAUGACACUGACAGCAUCAAUGUGAGGCUCCGAAAGCAACCACAGCAAUAUGCCUCAAAAUCUGAGCAGCUGACAUCCAUCUGAGCAGCUGAAAGGAGCUGUUGUCCAAACCCACCCUCUGCAGCCCUUGUUCUCCUCUCUCCCAGCUGCAGACCCCAAAGGUGACAGUAACAUUUCCUGCAGACUUUUACUUAUGACUCAGAUCUUGAAAUCAAAUUGAAAGAAAGAAAGAAAGAAAGAAAGAAAGAAAGAAAGAAAGAAAGAA
rnacentral:lncRNA from 1 species